GAUAAUUUAUCUAGUAAAGCAAGUGAUGACCAAGAACUAGUGCCACAACAUAAUAUCACAAAGUCUAAACGAACUAGUUUAUUUGAAAAUUUAUCUACUGAGACGAGUGAUGACCAAGAACUAGUGCCACAACAUAUCACAAAGUUUAAGCGGACAAGUUUAUUUGAUAAUUUAUCUAGUGAAGCAAGUGAUGACCAAGAACUAGUGCCACAACAUAAUAUCACAAAGUCUAAACGAACUAGUUUAUUUGAAAAUUUAUCUACUGAGACGAGUGAUGACCAAGAACUAGUGCCACAACAUAUCACAAAGUCUAAAGGAACUAGUUUAUUUGAUAAUUUAUCUACUGAGACAAGUACAAAUGAAAAAAGAAUAAAAAAUUGGACAAAGUCGGAGACACUUUGCCUUAUUGAGGCGUAUGAAAAUAAUAUUUCAAUAUUUGAAUCCAACUCA
rnacentral:lncRNA from 1 species